rnacentral:rRNA from 1 species
AUGGAAAAUUGCAUUGAUGACUUCAUCCGCCAAUUCGGGGGUGAGGAUGUUGAGGUAGGUUUUUUCUGGGAGGCUGCUGAACUUCACAAGAGGUUGUGCGAGCUUCAUCAGAUUUCCAACCAGGUGGAAGAGCUUAGGACUCUUGCGGUAGAAGCAAAUGCUCGACGAGAGAGUUACAAGAUUGAUGAUUGCAAGCCUAGCUUUGGCCCUGUGGCUGUUGACACUCGUUUGCGAGCGGUCUACCAGGAGGCGGCCAACCUUGUGGGCAUUGAAGGCCCUAGAGAAGAGGUUAUUAGUUGGUUGAUGAAUACUCAGAAAAAACUAAAGGUUGUGUCCAUUGUUGGUUUUGGAGGCCUGGGUAAAACUACACUUGCCAAACAGGUGUUUGACAAGAUCAAAGGGCAUUUUGUUUGUGUGGCAUUCUUUUCAGUUUCGCAGAGGCCUGAUUUGAGAGUGCUUCUCAAUCGCCUACAACUGAAACUUGGGAUAAAUGUAUCUUCUCACGAUUGCGGGUUUGACGACAUCAUUGAAGAGCUAAGGAAGUAUCUCAUAGAUAAAAGGUACCUUAUUGUAGUUGAUGACUUGUGGGAUCAAUCAGCAUGGAAUACUAUUAGUUGUGCUUUUCCAGAAAAUGGAAAUGGGAGUAGAAUAAUUGUAACCACACGAGUGGAAGAUGUGGCUGGCAUGGCCUGUCAUAAUAACCGUGAGUGCAUUUACGCAAUGAAGCCCCUCAGUGAUCAGAACUCAAGAAUGUUAUUCUCAAAUAGAGUAUUUGGGUCUGAAGUUGUUUGUCCACCCCAUCUUAAAGAUGUUGCGGCUGAAAUUCUGAAGAAGUGUGGUGGUAUGCCGCUCGCAAUUAUCACUAUAGCUAGCCUAUUAGCUACUCAAGUGAAAUCAAGGAAACACUGGGCGAGCAUAAGGAAAUCUCUGGGUGCCCAACCUGCCACAAAUCCUUCAUUGGAAGAGAUAAAAAAAUAUUAA